AAGGCCAAGCCAUGGUGUGCAGUGCAGGGCGGGUGCUGCAGGCACCGCUCCAGCAGCAGCAGUGACAGCAGUGACAGCAUGGUGCAGGCACGGUGGGCCCUGGCCCUCAUCCUCCUCCUGGUGGCCCUGCCAGCCAGGGGUGUCGGGGCUGCUCCAUGGCAACCGUGGGCAGUGGGUCCAGAGUAUCAAGAUGGAAGGGGACAAUCUUCCCAGGACACAUCCAAAGUGCUACAUGAAAUCCUUGGACAGCUGAAGAUGAUAGCACAAGGCGCCUCGCAGCUUCGAGAGCCAGCUCUGAGCGCCCCAACAGCCGGGCAGAAGCCAGCAGAAUAUUUGCAGGAGUAUUUAAAUAAAGAUCAGCAGCACAAUCGA